GCCCCUAAACUCCCUCCAAUUCUUUCAUUCCCUCGCUGCUGAAACACUUCUCUCUCUCUCUCCUCCCAUUUCAUCUCCUCUUCUUCUUCUCCUUAACUCAGGCCUAAAAUCUCUCAAGAAAACCCGCUCAACUCAGCCCUAAUGACAACAGAGAAAAUAAUUUACCACUCUUACAAUUUUCACACCAACAUCAUUAUAGUUUCAACCAAAUUGAAAUCAAACUACCACGGAUGAUCAAGUGUCUGGUAAUUUAAAGUUUGAUUAUGUGUAAGAGGUAUAAUUCUAUCACUUUCUCUAGUGUUUUAUUGUUCUUUGUUCAAAACAACCACAAAUUGUAUCUGUAUGCUAAUUCUGUUUUCUUUUAUGGCUAAAGUUGUCAGUGAGGAAGGUGUUGUAGAUCAACCGAAUAAGCGAAGAAAACUUGAUUUUGUGGCAGUUUUUGGUUUAUUAAAUUGAUUUAGAAGAAAACAAUCUACUUUUUAAAUUGUGUGAUUGAAAAAAUACUUCCGUUCAGGCUCACUGCUUCUUAUAUGUUGGGCAAUAUUAUAUAUGCACUUUAACUGAAUCUAGUUUGAGCAAAUUGUUCGACAGAUGUUUCGAUGUUAUGUCGUGGGCAUUUGUCUCUUGCAUCCUUGAUAUACUGAAUGGUGAUCGAAAAACUAUGUUGGUUGUCCGCGGAUUGGUUUCCUUGUUCUCUAAUUAAUUUUGUGUUGUGGUUUUUAAUUGCAUGGUUUGCAUCUUCUCUUAGUCAUGUAGAGCAAGACAGGUCCCUAAUGCAAUGCUCUGUAUAUUAUUCAUACUUCACAAUAUUUUUAAUAGCAUUACCACUAUAUUACGUUGUCAUAAAACUUGAAAAUUAGUCUCAUUCUUUACUAUUUCUUGGAUAAUUGGCUUCCUGAUUUACACAAGAUUAUUUUUUCCCGGUAGGAUUGAGGGCAGGGAGAAUGUAAAAUGAUUCGACCAUAGUAAAUAUAUAAUCAAUCUGCAAGCAAAAAGAGCAGGAGAAUUUCAUUUAUGACUCAGUUGUAUUACUUGUAGUUCACCUGAAAUAUGAGUAAUCUCAUUUCUUCACCAAAUAAACAUAUUCAGUAUAUAUCACCUCUCAUAUGUUCUCCUUCAGUACUCCCCAUUUUUUCUUGUUAGAGCAAGUGAAGUGUUUUUAACAUACAAGAAACAUUAAUCCAGUUUACUACUAUUAGAUUUUUCGUAUAUGCCUUCUACAAAAUUGAAUGUGGUUUCAAACCUCCAUAAGAAGCUUAUUUUGGUAGAAUAUAUAGGAGUUAGCUGCUGGAACGUGGAACUUUGGAAAGCAUCUUUGAAAAUAAUAUUUGCUACUUGUUUGAUAAAUGUAGUUAAUGAAAAUCUUUUGGUUCUAUUUUUCUUCGGUUUACCUAAGCUAAUACUUUAUCUUAAAUGAAAAUUGAAUAUGUUUAUUGAUAUAUGGUAAAUCCCACAAUCUUAAGGGAAAUAGUAAGGAUAGGAUUGAUAAGAUAGGAAUCCUAAGGGAAAAGUGGCUGAGGAAUAGUUAGCUACUGCAAAUCGACCAUAUUUGUAAGUCAUCACUGAUUAAGAUAAAUACACAAGGGUGCAAUGGGGUUUUAACAGCUCUAUCAGUGAUAUGAAAUGUGAUAAUCUCCUCUAACUCUUCAUUGUCAAGUCAACCACAGUUUGAUGUUUCAUCUCCCUUGUCUCUUGGAAUAGAGGCACUGGUUGUUGUACUGUAUCUUUGCCUUUCCUGGCCUCUUUCUCUUUUCUACCAGAUAUCAACUCAUUCUAAUUAAGUACACGUACAUAAUUUGACCUUACAUUAUGGAGAGCAAUGCUAGUUUCGAGAAUAAUCAACUACACGGAGCUCUUCCAAUAAAGUACAGAUAUGUAGGUCCCUGCAAUCUUUUCUUGUUUCUGGUAAUACCCCAUUCUUAACACCCUUAAUUAAGGGAGAGCAAGGAUGGUGUUGGGGAUGGGGUCAUUUGAUUAAACUCAUUUGAUUUUCUGUGUAGGAAAAUGUCUACAUGUUCUACAACCUGCGAAUGUGGAGAAUUGAUUGUAAUUUACAGGAACUUGGAAUUACUGCUUUCCACAUUAAGCUCCGUGCUACUAGAGGAAACAAAACCAAGACUCCUGGACCUAGUGCUUAGUCUGCUUUGAGAGCCCUUGCUCGUUCAGGCAUGAAAAUUGGCCGUAUUGAGGACGUGACUCCCAUCCCAACAGACAGUACCCGCAGAAAAGGACGAAGAAGGGGAAGGAGGCUGUGAAUUAUCUUGGUCAAAUGUUGUUAAAGCCUUUCCAUUUCAUUUUUGAAGUCGAACUUGUUGUAGUUUCGAAUUGCCCUUUCAUCAGACAAGUUUCUACUCUCAAGAUUGGAUUGUGGUUACUAGAAUACUAGUUCUUGUUUGCUUGCUUACAAGAUUUGUUUUGUAUGUUAGGUGGAAUCUAGAAGAUAACUAGAAAGACUCUAGUUGAAGUUCCUGAUUAGAUAGUUUUUUUUGUUAUAUUUGUAUAAAAAUACGAUUUGCAAUGGAAAAUGAUACUUUUAUAUA